rnacentral:rRNA from 1 species
AUUGAACGCUGGCGGCAUGCUUUACACAUGCAAGUCGAACGGUAACAGGCCGCAAGGUGCUGACGAGUGGCGAACGGGUGAGUAAUGCAUCGGAACGUGCCCAGUCGUGGGGGCUAACGCAACGAAAGCUGCGACAAGACCGCAUACGAUCUAUGGAUGAAAGCGGGGGCACGUAAGGCCUCGCGCGAUCGGAACGGCCGAUGUCAGAUUAGGUAGUUGGUUGGGUAAAGGCUCACCAAGCCAACGAUCUGUAGCUGGUCUGAGAGGACGACCAGCCACACUGGGACUGAGACACGGCCCAGACUCCUACGGGAGGCAGCAGUGGGGAAUUUUGGACAAUGGGCGCAAGCCUGAUCCAGCAAUGCCGCGUGCAGGAAGAAGGCCUUCGGGUUGUAAACUGCUUUUGUACGGAACGAAAAGGCUCUGGAUAAUACCUGGGGCUCAUGACGGUACCGUAAGAAUAAGCACCGGCUAACUACGUGCCAGCCGCCGCCGUAACAC